rnacentral:rRNA from 1 species
UCCGUAGGCGGGCGAUUAAGUCAGAGGUGAAAUCCCACAGCUCAACUGUGGAACUGCCUUUGAUACUGGUUGUCUUGAGUUACAGUGAAGUAGAUAGAAUAUGUAGUGUAGCGGUGAAAUGCAUAGAUAUUACAUAGAAUACCGAUUGCGAAGGCAGUCUACUAACUGUUAACUGACGCUAAGGGACGGAAGCGUGGGGAGCGAACAGGAUUAGAUACCCUGGUAGUCC